rnacentral:lncRNA from 1 species
GUCCUCGCCGCCGGGAGGCCGUGGGGAGCGAAGUUUUACAUGCCUGUGGUAUUUGCUCAGAGGGGCAUGACCACUUUGGGCAAGUCUUUAAAUACUGCAUCAAGGGAGGGCAGCCUAGAGGUGGAGGGAGACAAAGUGCUUGUGAACAGGAGAGGCGACCUGCUUUCCCUCCUACUUCAAGUUCUUGAGAAGGAAAUUGCUUAUCUUCUGAAAUGAGUUAACUGAUCUCUUCCAAGGCCUCCUCCACAGAAGAAAGGUGACCGACACUGUGCCCAGUUAGAUGAUACAGUGUACACACCCAUGUCCUCACCUUCCUUAAACCAAACCCUAUGCAUAUGGUGCAGAUACUAGUUCAUUUACAUAACUCCAAACACACAGCCUCUUGGUUACACCUUCAAGGCAAAUAUACCCACCCCUUUCAUUCUUCCGACUGCAUAUCCUUCCUAUCUGAGCUGGGACUUUUUCCGGAUCCUUUGUCCCUUGCUCCUGACUGCUACUAGAUCUGUAAUAGCAAGAGCACCUUACCAUGUUCUAACACCACUAUGCGCCGAGCCCUAUACUUCACACAAUCAGCAAAAUUCCAAGAGAUAUUAUCUCUCUUUUACAGAUAAACUGAGACUUGGCAACUGAAAAAUUUCACAUCUAGUUAAUGAUCAAGUUGAGUUUCAAAAUCAAGUUUUUCAAGAUCCUUUGACCAUCCUUUGACCCCUGAGAUACACUACUUCCCCUGAUUCCCUUCAAUAUUCUCCUUCCACAAGAGCUAGGAAUACCUUCUCCCUUCUUCUCUUUCCAUUCUAUGUUCAAGAAACCAUGA